GGUCAAAUGAAAGUGAAGGAUAUUGAAUCAUGAUGUACACACUACACGUACUAACUCUGGCAAUAUGCAUUGGACUCUGCUAUACUUUCAUGAUCAAGGAAAUCAUUUAUCAACAAAGAAUGUGUGAUACAGCAAAUGAUUGCUAUGACAACGAAUGUUGCGUUUCGAACGUCCAGCCAAUCGGAAAACGACAAAUUAGGCACAACAAUGGACACUGUAUUCCUAUGGGACGUAUUGGGGAUGACUUUUGAUCCGCACCCGCAAUCUGCGCAAGAUGUAUGGUUAAGUUCGGCAACACGACAUCCAGACCAAGUCACAUGGUCCUUGCCUGUCCCUGUACUCCAGGAUUGUAUUGUCACGGUGAUCACAGAUACGAAGUACCCUUGGGAGAAAUAGGUCACUGUUCCACUCCCUGAGCUGUGUAUCUACUUCCAUUAAAACUGGAACGAGUGAAAGACCCAUUAAACAUACUUAUUGUCUUCGUAAAACUGACCCUAAUGCCGAAUACAAAACAGCUAAACUGGACCGAGUUCCAUACUUUUUGAUAUUUAUUAAUAUCAUUCCACACUACAAAUAUUUUCCGUUUAUCAUAUAAAAGAUUUCUACCGCCCCAUUUCCAGUUCUGGAGGUUGAGAAAAUACAGUACGAUAUGUAUGACCUGGAGAAAGGAAGGGAGUUAGAACAACCUCUGGGCAGAGUCUAGAACAUAAUCCAGUCAGAGUUCUCGGAAAAAAAUAUCCGUUUCAAUUUUAAACUUUGAAACUUUUAUUUCACUUUUUGGCCUCACAUGAGGCAUAAAAGUACAAACAUAUAAAACAGUAACAGACAGGCAAUGGAUGAGUAAAAAGUAACAUACGUACAGUACAAUUGUCAGGCUGCUAGUGGAAGGAUUAUCAUUUUUUGAAUAUUGACAUUACAAUUCUACAAAAUUUGGCCAAGAAUGAAUCUGUCAUCACUAUAAAAUAAAU